rnacentral:rRNA from 1 species
GACGAACGCUGGCGGCGUGCUUAACACAUGCAAGUCGAACGGAAAAGCCUAGCUUGCUGGGUACUCGAGUGGCGAACGGGUGAGUAACACGUGGGAGUUCUGCCCCUAACUUUGGGAUAAGCCUGGGAAACUGGGUCUAAUACCGGAUAUUCAUUUUUCCUCGCGUGGGGAUUUGUGGGAAGCUUUUGUGUCUGGGGAGGGGAGGGGGGGCUAUCUGCUUGUUGGUGGGGUGAUGGCCUACGAAGGCGACGAAUGACUGCUGACCUGGGAGGGUGGGUGGGCACAAUGGGCCUACGAGACGGAGCAGAGGGGAAUAGGAGGCAACAGUGGGAAAUAUUGUACAAUGGGGGCGAGUGUGUGGCGGCGGCGUCGCGUGAGGGAUGACGGCCUUGGGGUUGUAAAGCUCUUUCAGCUCCGACGAAGCUGUAGUGACGGUAGGAGCAGAAGAAGCACCGGCCAACUACGUG